GAUGAAGAACGUAGCGAAAUGCGAUAAGUAAUGUGAAUUGCAGAAUUCAGUGAAUCAUCGAAUCUUUGAACGCACAUUGCGCCCGCCAGUAUUCUGGCGGGCAUGCCUGUCCGAGCGUCAUUUCAACCCUCGAACCCCUCCGGGGGGUCGGCGUUGGGGACCUCGGGAGCCCCUAAGACGGGAUCCCGGCCCCGAAAUACAGUGGCGGUCUCGCCGCAGCCUCUCCUGCGCAGUAGUUUGCACAACUCGCACCGAGAGCGCGGCGCGUCCACGUCCGUAAAACACCCAACUUCUGAAAUGUUGACCUCGGAUCAGGUAGGAAUAGCCGCUGAACUUAAGCAUAUCAAUAAGCGGAGGA
rnacentral:misc_RNA from 1 species